rnacentral:rRNA from 1 species
GGUGAACCUGCGGAAGGAUCAUUAUUGAAUGAAUUUGGGUGGGGUUGUUGCUGGCCCUUCAAGGCAUGUGCACGCCUCAUUCAUCCACCCUUCUCUACCUCUGUGCACUUCUCAUGGGUUGGGUUGCGCCGUUUUAGAAUGGCAAAGGCCCCUCCCAUGUGUUUAAUUAUAUACGCAUGUUUGUUUUGAAUGUACAAUGUCAUGCAUGAAUGCAUAAAAUAUAACUUUCAGCAACGGAUCUCUUGGCUCUCGCAUCGAUGAAGAACGCAGCGAAAUGCGAUAAGUAAUGUGAAUUGCAGAAUUCAGUGAAUCAUCGAAUCUUUGAACGCACCUUGCGCUCCUUGGUAUUCCGAGGAGCAUGCCUGUUUGAGUGUCAUGGUAUUCUCAAUCCGCUUGUAUUUUUGUGCAAGCGGUAUUGGAUGUGGAGGUUUUGCCGGCGUUCUUUGAAUGCUGGCUCCUCUGAAAUGCAUUAGCUUGAAUAUGACCGAGCAUGUCUCAGCGUGAUAAUUGUCUACGUUGCGUGUGCAAGGCCGAUAUACAUUCUGGCUUCCAACCGUCCCCUUUGUGGACAACGCUCUGAAAAUCUGACCUCAAAUCAGGCAGGACUACCCGCUGAACUUAAGCAUAUCAAUAAGCGGAGGAANNNNAACUAACAAGGAUUCCCCUAGUAACUGCGAGUGAAGCGGGAAAAGCUCAAAUUUAAAAUCUGGCAGCUUUGGCUGUCCGAGUUGUAGUCUGGAGAAGCGUUUUCUGUGCUGGACCGUGUACAAGUCUCUUGGAACAGAGCGUCAUAGAGGGUGAGAAUCCCGUCUUUGACACGGACCGCCAGUGCUGUGUGAUGCGCUCUCAAAGAGUCGAGUUGUUUGGGAAUGCAGCUCAAAAUGGGUGGUAAAUUCCAUCUAAAGCUAAAUAUUGGCGAGAGACCGAUAGCGAACAAGUACCGUGAGGGAAAGAUGAAAAGCACUUUGGAAAGAGAGUUAAACAGUACGUGAAAUUGCUGAAAGGGAAACACUUGAAGUCAGUCGCGUUGGCCGGAACUCAGCCUGGCUUUUGCCUGGUGUAUUUUCUGGUUGACGGGCCAGCAUCAAUUUUGACCGUUGGACAAAGGCCGGGGGAAUGUGGCACCUUCGGGUGUGUUAUAGCCCUUGGUCACAUGCAAUGGUUGGGAUUGAGGAUCUCAGCAUGCCUUUAUGGUCGGGGUUCGCCCACGUUCAUGCUUAGGAUGCUGGCGUAAUGGCUUUAAAUGACCCGUCUUGAAACACGGACCAAGGAGUCUAACAUACCUGCGAGUGUUUGGGUGGAAAACCCGAGCGCGCAAUGAAAGUGAAAGUUGGGAUCCCUGUCGCGGGGAGCACCGACGCCCGGACCAGACCUUCUGUGACGGAUCCGCGGUAGAGCAUGCAUGUUGGGACCCGAAAGAUGGUGAACUAUGCCUGAAUAGGGUGAAGCCAGAGGAAACUCUGGUGGAGGCUCGUAGCGAUUCUGACGUGCAAAUCGAUCGUCAAAUUUGGGUAUAGGGGCGAAAGACUAAUCGAACCAUCUAGUAGCUGGUUCCUGCC